rnacentral:ncRNA from 2 species
GGGCCGGGCUCUGGAGAGCGGCGCGCGCAAGCGGCGCCCACCGACGGGGUAAACUCUCAGGUGACCGGACAGAGGGGCGGAU